AAAUUUUAUUUUUGGUCCUCAAACUAUGAGGCGCAUGAUGAUUUUAUCUUCAAAUUUUAAUUAGCUAUAAUUUUUUUUUCGAACUAUAAAGCAUGUGAUAUUUUAGUUGUCAAAUUUUCUGAAUUGUAACAAUAUGUUAUUUAAUCAUGCAACAAUAAUUAACUUGCUACAUUACUUCGAUUUUAGUGAUUCAUCAAUAUUUAUUUUUGAAAAAAAAAAACGAGUAUGAAACUUAAUUGCAAUGAUUCAGAAGAUUCGAGAGCUAAAGUAUCGUAUGCUUUAUAGUUUGAACCAGAAAUUUCAACGAAUUCACUCUUAAGUUAAUGCCAUGAGUACUUUUUGUACCGCACAAUUAAUACUGGUUAUUACUGUAUUCUUAGUGCACAUAAUUAUAUACAUAUCAUAUUUAUUCGAAAAAAAAAGUUAGGUAUGAAACUUAAUUGCGACAAUUCAAUUCAGAAGACUCGGGAAUUUAAUUCCAUGAAUACAUUUUGUACCGUAGAAUUAAGUACUAAUUUUUGAUGUACUUAUAGGUUGCGUUCGGUUCAGAUAUAAGUAAUAAUUGUUUAUUUCAGUAAUAGAUACAAAUUUAGAUAUAAGUAGGAAUUAGACCAAUUUACGUUUGGAUGAAAAUUGAAUUGUUACUAGAAAUAAGAUAAAUAGUAUUUUGAUGGUUAAAUUAGAAUAAAUGAAAUAAAAGUUAUAAUUUUAAAUUAAAAUUAUUUUAUCUAAUUACUUAAAAUCAAAAUAUUACGUAAAAAUAAUUUAAUAAAUUAAUAAAUUUAUUAGCUACGAAUAUUGUAUAAGAUAAUGAAAAUGUAUUAAUUCAUUAAUUAAAUAUAAAAAUUAAUUUAACUGUUUAAUUAGUUAGUAAAUUACUUUAGCUAGAUAACUAGUAAAAAAAUUAAUAUAAAUAUUAAUGGUUGAUCAAUAUAAAUACUAAUUAGUUUAUGGACAAAUACAUUAAAUUAUUAAUAAUUAAUUAGAAUUAAUUAAUUAAUUAAUUGUUUGUUUAUUUAUUUAUCUAAGUAAUAAAUAAUGAUUUGAAUAUAUUAAUUAGAUUAAUUAAUAAUUUAAUACCAUAAUUAAAAUUAAAUUUAGACUUUAAUUAAUCUUGUUUCAGGAAAAAAGGUGUAACAACAGUUCCAGUCUUAUACCAACUUAUUUCAGAAAUCCAAAAACUACUAUUAUCGGAUACCAAACGCAGCAUUUGAAAAUAAAAAGAAAAAAAAAAACUUAUUUCCCUUGUUUCCGAACCAAACACUGACCCCUGUUCUUAGCUUAAGCAUUUAAAAAAUAAUAGUUGUGUAUUUCACUUGACUCGAACUUAGAUAUGCUUUGGUCAC
rnacentral:lncRNA from 1 species